rnacentral:rRNA from 1 species
GACGAACGCUGGCGGCGUGCUUAACACAUGCAAGUCGAGCGGUAAGGCCCUUUCGGGGGGUACACGAGCGGCGAACGGGUGAGUAACACGUGGGUGACCUGCCCUCAGCUCUGGGAUAAGCCUGGGAAACCGGGUCUAAUACUGGAUAUGACUCCAUGACGCAUGUUGUGGGGUGGAAAGCCUUGUGCGGCUGAGGAUGGGCCCGCGGCCUAUCAGCUUGUUGGUGGGGUGA